AGCCCACACAGCCCAUACAGAGCCCAUAUAGAGCCCACACAAACUAUAGAGACCCCUUCCACUUCCUUCUUAGGCCCCACUUCCUGCUUAGGCCCCACUUCCUGUGUAGACCCCACUUCCUGUUUAGGCCCCACUUCCUGUCUAGGCCCCACUUCCUGCCUAGGCCCCACUUCCUGCUUAGGCCCCACUUCCUGCUUAGGCCCCACUUCCUGUCUAGGCCCCUUCCACUUCCUGCUUAGGCCCCACUUCCUGUCUAGGCCCCUUCCACUUCCUGGCUUAGGCCCCACUUCCUGUGUAGGCCCCACUUCCUGCUUAGGCCCACUUCCUUGUAGGCCCGUUCCACUUCCCGCUCACCGUGACGUCCCAUGGCCGGAACAGAACUGCCGGUUGAGGUUGGACUUUCGAUGGUGGUCCAUGUCGGUGACGGUGACGCAGCCGUCGGGCCGCAGCCCAACCCCAACAUGGGGCGAAGUUCUUCAGCAGCUCACAGCAAUGGCGCCCGCACCCACUCUGCGGGGGCAAUGGGGAGAGGUUAAUGGGGCAAUGGGAAACAAUGGGGAUAUGGGGUCCAUGGGGUCAAUGGGGUCAAAUGGGGACAUGGGUUCAAUGGGGGAUAUGGGGUCAAUGGGGGAUAUAGGGGGCAAAAUUGGGGUUCAAUGGGGGAUAUAGGGGCCUAGGGCCUAUGGGCCAUUGGGGUCAAUGGGGAUAUGGGGGCGUAUAGGGGUCAAUGGGACA
rnacentral:lncRNA from 1 species